GACGAACGCUGGCGGCGUGCUUAACACAUGCAAGUCGAACGGUAAGGCCCUUCGGGGUACACGAGUGGCGAACGGUGAGUAACACGUGGGUGAUCUGCCCUGCACUUCGGGAUAAGCCUGGGAAACUGGGUCUAAUACCGGAUAGGACCACUGCCUGCAUGGGUGGUGGUGGAAAGCUUUUGCGGUGUGGGAUGGGCCCGCGGCCUAUCAGCUUGGUGGUGGGGUGAUGGCCUACCAAGGCGCCGACGGGUAGCCGGCCUGCGAGGGUGACCGGCCACACUGGGACUGAGAUACGGCCCAGACUCCUACGGGAGGCAGCGGUGGGGAAUAUUGCACAAUGGGCGCAAGCCUGAUGCAGCGACGCCGCGUGAGGGAUGGCGGCCUUCGGGUUGUAAACCUCUUUCAGCACCGACGAAGCGCAAGUGACGGUAGGUGCAGAAGAAGGACCGGCCAACUACGUGCCAGCCGCCGCCGUAA
rnacentral:rRNA from 1 species